rnacentral:rRNA from 1 species
UAGAUACCCCGGUAGUCCACGCCGUAAACGUUGGGCGCUAGAUGUGGGGACCUUUCCACGGUUUCCGUGUCGUAGCUAACGCAUUAAGCGCCCCGCCUGGGGAGUACGGCCGCAAGGCUAAAACUCAAAGGAAUUGACGGGGGCCCGCACAAGCGGCGGAGCAUGCGGAUUAAUUCGAUGCAACGCGAAGAACCUUACCAAGGCUUGACAUACACGAGAACGGGCCAGAAAUGGUCAACUCUUUGGACACUCGUGAACAGGUGGUGCAUGGUUGUCGUCAGCUCGUGUCGUGAGAUGUUGGGUUAAGUCCCGCAACGAGCGCAACCCUCGUCGCAUGUUGCCAGCACGUUAUGGUGGGGACUCAUGUGAGACUGCCGGGGUCAACUCGGAGGAAGGUGGGGAUGACGUCAAAUCAUCAUGCCCCUUAUGUCUUGGGCUUCACGCAUGCUACAAUGGCCGGUACAAAGGGCUGCGAUGUCGUAAGGCGGAGCGAAUCCCAAAAAGCCGGUCUCAGUUCGGAUUGAGGUCUGC